rnacentral:rRNA from 1 species
UACGGAGGGGACUAGCGUUGUUCGGAAUUACUGGGCGUAAAGCGCACGUAGGCGGAUUUGUAAGUCAGGGGUGAAAUCCCGGGGCUCAACCUCGGAACUGCCUUUGAUACUGCAAAUCUCGAGUCCGGAAGAGGCGAGUGGAAUUCCCGGUGUAGCGGUGAAAUGCAUAGAUACGGUCCAGAACACCGAUUGCGUAGGCAGCUUACUAGGCUGUAACUGACGCUGAGGCACGAAAGCGUGGGGAGCGAACAGG